GUGAGUGAGUGUACUGUGUGAGUGAGUGCAGAGCCAGAGCCAGCCGCUGAGCCAGCCAGUCUCACUCUCAGUCAGUCAGUGUAGGAGUGAGAGUUCGAGAGGAAGGACGUACUUACGACGAGUGUGUUGUGACAUUUGUUCAUUUGUUGACACGAAUAAAAGCCAUGAAGGGCGGCCUCUUUUCCGUGGGCUUGACGGCCUUCGUGCUAAUCCUCACAUUCGGUGAAGUUUCAGCCUUGGUUUGUGAGAGAGAGGUCGCAUUCGGCUUUACCCAGCGUUUCUCAUGCCCGCAACCAACUGAUAGUAAAGAUAAAAUUUACUGUUGUGGCGGAAAGGAAAACCGCUUUUGCUGUGAAACUCCAUUUGGUCUUAAUGAAGAUGUGGUGAACCAGGUCAUUGAUAUGUCAUCUGAUUCAAAUGUGACUGAUAUCAAUAUACCAACCACACAGGCCUUGAAAGUGCGAAAGUUUUCUAAAACAAAACCAGUGGCUCUGGCCCAGGUUCAAGAGGCCCCAGUUGCACCCAAGACUUCAAAUGACCAAGAGGGAAUACGAGAUUCUGUGGAUCGCUUGAAGGAGAAAGCUAACGACACACUUUGUGCUAUUAGGGACAAACUUAACCCAAAUAUUUGCAUUCAAAAGGCUAAGGACAAAGUUAAAGUUAAGAUAGAGGAGAAAGUUACAAAAAAAUUGGAUCCCACAGGGACCAUCAGGUUGCUACCUACCAUCUUGACUGUUAUUGGAGUUUUCAUUUUGGUUAUAAUUAUAGUAUGUAUUGUGUGCUGCUGCUGUUGUCCAUUCUGUAUUCUUCACAAGCGACGAAAUAGGGGUGCAGUACAUAACCCUAACACUGCUGAUGUGACUGUAACGCAACCCCUUCAACCUAUGCAACCAGUGCAGCAGCCUUACGCAAGCCCGCAGCCAUAUCCCCCACAGCCAUAUCCAUCCCAGCCAUAUCCACCUCAGCCUCAACCAUAUCCUCCUGCUCAGGGUUAUCCAGGAGGAUAUCCCCAGCAACCAUAUCCUCCUCAGGCACCGCAACCGGCUAUGUACCCAGAGAUGUGUCGCUGAUGCUUUUUAGUGCGAGAAGAAAGAAAUUCGUGCUUGCACGCCUGCGUAACGAUUGUAAACAAAACAACAGCUUGAUCCGUGAACUCCCAGCAUCCCUCAAGUUGACCAGCCUCCACCGUAUUCUGAGAAACAACUGCCUUACAACCCCAACUAUCAGCAGUAAUCCCUUACUCAUUAAGACUUUUGUGGAAAGUCUGUUGUAUUGUAGUAUUCACUAGAUCCUAGAUAAUAUCUUUAAAGGUGUUUUUUGACUUGCCAUGAUAUUCAAGAUCAUUUUCAAAGUUUGUAAUAUAAAUUAAACUAUUGCAUUGUCACUUACAGUGCUUUAAAAAAAUAUGGCUGUAUUGGUUAGUACAUUUACAUGUAUUUGGAAUAGCUUACCAAUAGUUUUUUUUUUUUUAUACCUUUCCUUGUCCAAGGAUUGUACCUGUGUGUUUGAUCAGUAGUCUUUUUAGAUUAUUUGAGAAUCUUGAGAAUCUUUGAUUUGCAGUCUGUUUCAGAACCAGUUGUGUUGUUGUAUGAUAAUAAUUUUGGAAUCUCUCGACCCAUUUGUUUAAAUAUGAAAUCAGGAGCGUUGACAAAAUACUACUGUUGAUUUUAACUUUAGUAUAGCUUUUUAUUGAAGGUUUCAUUAUUUAGGCUAUAAUUGGUCAAAUUCUCAGUUUGCCAUGGGUUUUCUUAAAAGUUUUUAUGCUGAGGAUACAGCAUGUGCUGAUUAUACAGAGGUGCCAUCAUUAAUAUCCUGUGAUAAUAUGCUUUCAGUUAGUAUACAUAAUUUGGUGGCCAGCCCUUUGAGUUAAGAAUUCUGACUCCUGAGGUUUGGUUAAAUCAGUAAUAUUUUUUAAAUGACUAAUCUUCAUCUCCUUCCUAUUUUCCCAAUCUCCCUCCUCCCUUCUUAUAGGUCACUUAAAUAUGGGUGUGGUUCACAGAAUUAUCAACUGAGGGGCACAUGUUAAUUACUUUGUGUAAUCUCUUGAAUUGCAUGGUAGCAUUUAGUAAUAUACAGUAUACCAAUUUUUAUUGCAACAGAUGGUUAUGGAAAUAUGAGAUUUUUUUGAAGUUUUCACAGAGUAGACUCAUAGUUCAUACAAACUGCCGUUCUUAUUUUGCAGAACACGUUGAUUAUAUGGUUUGCUCCUAUCCCUUAAAUAAAUACGUAAAGGUUUUGUUUGUGAUCUUUUGUUGUACAAAGAUUUUGGCUGCCUAUAUUAUGGUAACUGAAUUUUUUUUUAUAAUGUUAUGACAGUAAACUACCUAAUGUAUUUUUGUAACCAUCAUCUGUUGUUUUUAUUUAUGAAAUAGUCAUAUUGAGAUUACUGAUGGAGAUUAUUGUUGGUGGAUUUCUUUAAAUUCUCUUUGACUCUUUGAAAUUAAACUUUGUUUGGUCUUUUUGAAAGUAAUUUGAGCCCCUGCAUCAAACUCGUUGACCUUCAUGGACAAAGUAUUAGACUGAGAUAACUGCCUUACCUUCAUUACUAUUCACAGCCAACAGCAUUUGUGUAAUGUAGUUCCCUAUUAGGCUUAUGAAAGUAUGAAUGAAAAUAUUUUUCUCCAAGCUCAUUGUUAUUUAUGCAGCAUUGGGAACAGUUAAUGCUUGUAGGUACAUGACAGCUGAAAAUUGAAGUUUUAAUGAGGUUGUUUGUUAAAUUUGUAAAUUAUACAGUAAUGGUAUUGCCAUUGGUGAUAUGCUGUUUUACAUGUUUGACUGUUAAUAUAAAUCCUAUUCACAUGGAAUAUAAAAUUUGAGAGGAAAUAUUUUAGAUUUACUACAAUAAAUUAUUAAUGAGAAGUUCUAUUUUUGUAGAAUUUGUGUAGGAUAAUUAAAAGAUUAGGUAUCUAAGUUAUCAAAUCUGCUAUUACUAAAGAUUAGUUUGCAUAGCCUCAAACAUGCUGCACAUAUUCACCAACUCCUCUCUUGAAUAUUUUUCUUUUCAACCUUAUACAGCACAUAUGAGGUGAUAUGAAAGGUGUAUUGGACAAUAUAGCUUAUUUGUAGUAUGCUAUAUAUGUGUAGAUAUACAUAUACUGUAGUGUGCGUGUAUUUUUGGUUUAAAUGUUUUAAGUUUAUGAUUUAUACGGUGAAAUGAUCUUCAUUUCUAGAAAGUUAUGUCUUAGUGUUUGUUUCAUACAGUUUACUUUAUCAAAAGCAUAUUAAGUGUCUUUGAAGUGUUCACAGAAUUUUCACAUAUCUCUGAAUAGUAGUUAAAAACCAGACAUAAGUGAAAUAGGUUAAGAUUGUAUGUUUUGUCUGAGUAUGUAAUUUAUGCAGUAUAGGUGCUUAUUUAACUCUGCAUGCAGUGGUCACAUCAAACACAAUAGGCAAUGGAAAUUCAACACCAGAUCGAAGGUUAGUUAAUUAGAUUUCAUUAAUAUCGUUGUUUAUUUGUCAUAAUAGUGAAGAAUCCUCACCAGUUUCUGAUCUUUUUGGCUAUUACUGUAAAUUAUAAUGUUUAUGGUAUACAUAUUUCGUAAUGAAGACCAAAAUCUCCAGAAUGUGAUGAAAAUAUACAGCAAAUACCAAAAUUAGGGUGAAGAUGAAGAAAGUAUCCACCAGCACUGUCUUUAAUGUAUUUACGCUACUAAAUGCAGAUCAACAGACAGGAGGGCAUUCCUCCAAAGAUGUAGUGCAGUAUACAGAAAAUAUAGGAAAAUUGUAUCAGAAACUAUUCAUUUUUGUUGUUAUUUUGACCUUUGAUUUUUAAUAAGACGGGUGUUUGAUGAUAAAUUUACCAGGUAUGUUUGGGGAAAAUAUCAUGAAUCUGAAAAUAACAUAGAUCAUGAUUUUUUUCUCAUGUUCAUGAACUGAAAAUACUCAACUUUGUCUUGCAAGAGCUUGUGUUUUCUCAUGUUCAUGAACUGAAAAUACUCAACUUUGUUUUGCAAGAGCUUGUGGUGCAUUUUUAUGUGAUUUUUAAGGAUUCGGCUGGGAUCCGUGCAGUCUUUUUAAGAUUGUUUAAUUUUUACCAAGUAUUAUUGGAAAAGAAUGUCAUUUAUUUUCCACUUUAUUUUUUUACUAACUUUUUUUUUAGGUAAGUAGAAUGUAUCCUCACAUGUCUUAAGUAACUUCAGGCCACUGUGAUGGACAUCUAGUACAAGCACAUCUGAUAACCAUGUCAGGUAGUCUAUAGAUUAAAGUUGUAUAGACAUGUCAUUACAAAUGUUGCAUCUAGCUUCAUUUUCAGAAAACAUGUUUAUCAUUUGUUAACAUGAUUUUGGAAACUGAUGAUGGUGUGCUGGACAGUGUUUUCUGCACAGAUAUAUUAUGCUUGCUUGUAAAUUCAGUGCACCUUUGGGAAGCCGCUCUUAUUGAUAGGUUUGGUGAAUUAAAUCCAUUAAAGAAAAAGUUAUUCACAAUAUGUACAUGGUGUUUUCAAAGUGCUGGAGUGUACAGUUAUUAGAAUGAGCAAGUUUAUUAAAAUAGGAUAUUCAUUGUUGAAAAUUUGUAAGGCUUUAUGGUGCUUUUGGUGUAUGAGGAGAACUGUAUGGUCUUCAUUCUUGCUGUAUAGUUUUAUGCCAGUGAGAUUUCAGAUUGUUACUUUGGCGUUCUAUAAAAGAAGCUUUCAGUUGAACCAUACAUUAUUGUUGUAGCAGUGUAAGUAUAAUUACUAUACUACAUAGUAUGUCAUUGUCAUGACUAUAAUGUCAAGUAAUUUGUUCAGCAGAGGCUGUAUAGGGCUUGAAAGCCAGGUUAAGGAAGUUGUGGUCUUGUUAGAUUCAGUGUAUUCAGAACUUCAGUAACAUUGAAAUCUCUCUCUCUUUUGUUAUAGAAUAAUGUUGAAGCAGCUCAGUCUGAAUGAAGAUGUGUAGAAUAAAUGGUGAAUAGAGCUUACAGUUAUGAUUGAGUCUUUAAGAACAGUUUUACAUCCUACUUUUGUAAGUGAUGAUUUGUUUUUUAUGCUUUGCAAAUUUCUGCUGUUAAGAAUGGUUGCAGUAAGUUACCCUUGUAAUAUUGCUAGUUGGUUUUCAUUUAUGCCUGAUCCUGAUGUGGCUGUUUUGUUUUCAGUUCUAGUCCCAAUUUGGAUUAUUAUAGUGUUAAUAAUUUUAGCUUAUUGUCAUUGGGUAAUGAAAGUUUUUUUAUAUAUACAUAUACAUCUAUACUAGUUAUUUUUUGCCAAGGUUUUUCAUUCUUUUACAGUAGUAUCAGGAAAGUAAACUUCUAGUAUUUUAUUAUUUCUAACUUUUUUUUUUUUUUUAUUUUUUUGCACAAAUUAAGCACUGUACCAUUCAAGAGCAAUAAGUUUUGUUAGUAACUGUUGUUAUUUGGAAGGCAUUUUUUUUUUUAUUCCAUAGAAAUUUCUAACAGCAUUACAAAUGUGAUGAAAGAUAGAUUUGUGUAAACUCUGUGGUCUUGUCAGACUUGUGAAAAUUAACUGGUAGAUUACAGUGGUGUUGGUUCAGUGAGAGGUGUUGCUCUCUAGGAAGUUGCAGAAAUGAUAGUUGUGAAAGUAACGAGUGGCACAGCAUCCUCCUCCAUAAUGUUUCUGCAAUUUUUUCUUGGUUUUUUAAUCUCUUCAAAUGUGUAAUUGAGAUUUAGUAAACAUUUCUAGUUUUUCUAAUGCUGUGGUUACUCUUGUCUGUGUACAGUUUGUGACUUUUAUAUGUAAUCUCAUAUGUAAUAAAUGCAAUCAGUAA